AGUGAACGCUGGCGGCGUGCUUAACACAUGCAAGUCGAACGAGAAAGGAAUAUAGCUUGCUAUAUUUGUCAGCUAAGUGGCGCACGGGUGAGUAAUAUAUAGAUAACCUGCCCUUAAGAAAGGAAUAACAGUUUGAAACGACUGCUAAUGCCCUAUAUGCCUUUAAUACAUAAGUAUGCAAGGGAAACGCUUUAGUGCUUAAGGAUGGGUCUGUAUGGUAUCAGCUUGUUGGUGAGGUAAUGGCUCACCAAGGCUAUGACGCCUAACUGGUUUGAGAGGAUGAUCAGUCACACUGGAACUGAGACACGGUCCAGACUCCUACGGGAGGCAGCAGUGGGGAAUAUUGCACAAUGGACGAAAGUCUGAUGCAGCAACGCCGCGUGGAGGAUGACACAUUUCGGUGCGUAAACUCCUUUUAUAUAGGAAGAUAAUGACGGUACUAUAUGAAUAAGCACCGGCUAACUCCGUGCCAGCCGCCGCGGUAAGAC
rnacentral:rRNA from 1 species